rnacentral:rRNA from 1 species
UACGUAGGGGGCAAGCGUUGUCCGGAAUCAUUGGGCGUAAAGCGCGUGUAGGCGGCUCGAUAAGUCUGCUGUGAAAGUCCAGGGCUCAACCCUGGGAUGCCGGUGGAUACUGUCGAGCUCGAGUCCGGAAGAGGCGAGUGGAAUUCCUGGUGUAGCGGUGAAAUGCGUAGAUAUCAAGUGGAACACCAGCGGCGAAGGCGAGUCUCUGGACAUUUCCCGACGCUGAGGCACGAAAGCCAGGGGAGCAAACGGG